rnacentral:rRNA from 1 species
CCCCACUGCUAUCGGGAUGGGACUAAGACAUGCUAGUCGUGCGUCUCCAAGCCAUGGCGGAGACGCGGCGCACAGCUCAGUAACACGUGGCUAACCUGCCCUUAGGACAGGGACAACCCCGGGAAACUGGGGCUAAUCCCUGAUAGGUGAGGGUUCCUGGAAUGGGCCCUCGUCGAAAGGGCGCCUAGACCAUGCUUCUAGGCGCUGCCCAAGGAUGGAGCCGCGGCCGAUCAGGUUGUUGGUGAGGCAACGGCUCACCAAGCCUUUAACCGGUACGGGCCGUGAGAGCGGGAGCCCGGAGAUGGGUACUGAGACAAGGACCCAGGCCCUACGGGGCGCAGCAGUCGCGAAAACUCCGCAAUACGCGAAAGCGUGACGGGGCUAUCCCGAGUGCCGUCCGCUGAGGAUGGCUUUUCCCUAGUGUAUAAAGCUGGGGGAAUAAGGAGAGGGCAAGCCUGGUGUCAGCCGCCGCGGUAAUACCAGCUCUCCGAGUGGUGGGGAUGCUUAUUGGGCCUAAAGCAUUCGUAGCCGGUUGGGCAAGUCCUCCGUUAAAUCCAGCGAUUCAAUCGUUGGACUGCGGGGGAUACUGCCCGGCUUGGGGGCGGAAGAGGCCGACGGUAUUCUCGGGGUAGGGGUGAAAUCCUAUAAUCCCGGGAGGACCACCAGUGGCGAAGGCUGUCGGCUAGAACGCGCCCGACGGUGAGGGAUGAAAGCUGGGGGAGCGAACCGGAUUAGAUACCCGGGUAGUCCCAGCUGUAAACGAUGCAGGCUAGGUGUUGGCGCGGCUACGUGCCGCUCCAGUGCCGCAAGGAAGCCGUUAAGCCUGCCGCCUGGGAAGUACGGCCGCAAGGCUGAAACUUAAAGGAAUUGGCGGGGGAGCACCACAAGGGGUGAAGCUUGCGGUUU